rnacentral:lncRNA from 1 species
GUAGAUUAGAGGUUGCUGAGUGCUGGAGUUGGGCUGAACUGCGGGCAAUAACGACAGUGUGUGGCUUUCUUUCAGGAGUGAGGAAAACACUCUACACCUGACCACGUGGUGGUUGAACAUCAGUAUUUGUUGAGUGCACUCAGCGGGGAGUUGAGUGAAGCCACCAUAGCACAUACAGAACCUUACAAUGCUCAAGGGACAUUUCAAAAGGGACACUCCUGCCAUCUGACCAAGCCCCAAGAACAUGACUGCAUGGAUUCAUCAUGCUGUGUGAUUUGAGUCUCAUGUAACAAGAAUCCCUCUUAAGGUUUUCCUUCCAGAACUGACAUUGUGCUGGAAGCAUGUGCU